rnacentral:lncRNA from 1 species
CUCUUACAGAAAGGCUGGAUUGCUCUCUUUGAGCCAGCACAUGGAUGAAAGUCUGCUAUCAAAGCCUCAUUUACCAAAGAGGUAGAUAGCAAUUUUAUGUAUUGAGGGAACAAAAAAAAACCAGCCUCACUCUUGGACACCUGCCUUUCAGAUACACAUUUGUCAGUCAGAGAACUGAGUGCUGCAGAUGCAAAGCAAACACUUUCAUGUCUUCUCUGAGUAUGUUUUAAGGCCAGUUUUCCUGCAUGGGUUUCCAUAAUGGUUAUUGUAUAUAAUUUUGUAGCUUCUGCAAGCUGUAAUUUGGUCCAGACCCCAUAGCUUCCAGAUGGUUUUGGAUAAAUAGGAGUUGAACACUUGUUAUAGAUGCUAUUCCAAAUAUCAUUUUCCCAUAUGCAGUGUUGCAUAUGUUGUUUGUGACAUACAGCUAAUGACAGAAAGCAGUAACACCACCAUUGCUGGAAGUGUUCCAAAGGCAUGUGGAUGUGGCACUUGGGGAUGUGGUUUGCUGGGGAACACGGUGGUGCUGAUUUAAUAGUUGGACUCGAUGAUGCAGAUAUUUUUCAGCCAUAGUACUGUUAUGAUUCUAUCAAUGCUUCCUGUAAAUGUUGCUUAUAUGUGUGAAGAAUGCCUCUCAAAAUGUGUAGUUAACAUCUGAACAUUUAGAUACUUUUCAGAGCCAGUGAAGACUUUUUUUUUUUUUUUAGAUACUGACCGAGCUUUAGUACUGCUGGAAGAAUAUUGCAAAAAACUGCGGAAGCCAGAAGAGCAGCAACUGAAAAAAGCCAUCAGAAAGGUGAUGGGCAUCUUUAAGAGCAGCUUGUUUCAGGCACUCCUAGAUAGCUUCAAAAAGAAAGCAACCAGACAUGGAACUACGUCCCACACGUCAUUGCCAGCAGCUCUUGCAUGUGAUGUCCUUGGAUGCCCUAAAGAUUAGCCAGUCUCAUCCAUCUGGCCCAUGUCACAGGGAUCAAAGGCAUUUUUCCCUCUACAAACUUAAGCUCAUGCUCUCUGAAAGUGAAGAGAACAAAUUUCAAGUUAGAGUCUGA